rnacentral:rRNA from 1 species
UAUCGGAACGUGCCCAGUCGUGGGGGAUAACGUAGUGAAAAUUACGCUAAUACCGCAUACGAUCUAAGGAUGAAAGCGGGGGAUCGCAAGACCUCGCGCGAUUGGAGCGGCCGAUAUCAGAUUAGGUAGUUGGUGAGGUAAAGGCUCACCAAGCCAACGAUCUGUAGCUGGUCUGAGAGGACGACCAGCCACACUGGAACUGAGACACGGUCCAGACUCCUACGGGAGGCAGCAGUGGGGAAUUUUGGACAAUGGACGCAAGUCUGAUCCAGCCAUUCCGCGUGCAGGACGAAGGCCUUCGGGUUGUAAACUGCUUUUGUACAGAACGAAAAGGUCUCUAUUAAUACUAGGGGCUCAUGACGGUACUGUAAGAAUAAGCACCGGCUAACUACGUGCCAGCAGCCGCGGUAAUACGUAGGGUGCAAGCGUUAAUCGGAAUUACUGGGCGUAAAGCGUGCGCAGGCGGUUAUAUAAGACAGAUGUGAAAUCCCCGGGCUCAACCUGGGAACUGCAUUUGUGACUGUAUAGCUGGAGUGCGGCAGAGGGGGAUGGAAUUCCGCGUGUAGCAGUGAAAUGCGUAGAUAUGCGGAGGAACACCGAUGGCGAAGGCAAUCCCCUGGGCCUGCACUGACGCUCAUGCACGAAAGCGUGGGGAGCAAACAGGAUUAGAUACCCUGGUAG